GACGAACCGUGCGAACGUUGUUCGGAUUCACUGGGCUUAAAGGGCGCGUAGGCGGGCAAUCAAGUCAGGGGUGAAAGCCUCCAGCUUAACUGGAGAAGUGCCUCUGAUACUGGUCGUCUUGAGGGAGGUAGGGGCAUGUGGAACUUCCGGUGGAGCGGUGAAAUGCGUAGAUAUCGGAAGGAACGCCGGUGGCGAAAGCGACGUGCUGGACCUCUUCUGACGCUGAGGCGCGAAAGCUAGGGGAGCGGACGGG
rnacentral:rRNA from 1 species